rnacentral:rRNA from 1 species
AGCGAACGCUGGCGGCAGGCUUAACACAUGCAAGUCGAACGCCCCGCAAGGGGAGUGGCAGACGGGUGAGUAACACGUGGGAACGUACCCUUUGGUUCGGAAUAACUUGGGGAAACUCAAGCUAAUACCGGAUAAGCCCUUAUGGGGAAAGGUUUACUGCCGAGGGAUCGGCCCGCGUCUGAUUAUCUAGUUGGUGAGGUAAUGGCUCACCAAGGCGACGAUCAGUAGCUGGUCUAAGAGGAUGAUCAGCCACACUGGGACUGAGACACGGCCCAGACUCCUACGGGAGGCAGCAGUGGGGAAUAUUGGACAAUGGGGGCAACCCUGAUCCAGCCAUGCCGCGUGAGUGAUGAAGGCCUUAGGGUUGUAAAGCUCUUUUACCCGGGACGAUAAUGACUGUACCGGGAGAAUAAGCCCCGGCUAACUUCGUGCCAGCCGCCGCGGUAA